CUUAACUCCGAUACAGCAGUGGAAACUGAUGGGCUAGAGGGCGACAGGGGUAGAGGGAAUUCCCAGUGUAGCGGUGAAAUGCGUAGAGAUUGGGAAGAACACCGGUGGCGAAAGCGCUCUACUGGGUCGCACCUGACCCUCAGGGACGAAAGCUAAGGGAGCGAAAGGGAUUAGAUACCCCUGUAGUCUUAGCUGUAAACGAUGGAUACUAGGCGUGGUUUGUAUCGACCCAAGCCGUGCCGAAGCUAACGCGUUAAGUAUCCCGCCUGGGGAGUACGUACGCAAGUAUGAAACUCAAAGGAAUUGACGGGGGCCCGCACAAGCGGUGGAGGAUGUGGUUUAAUUCGAUGCAACGCGAAGAACCUUACCAAGGCUUGACAUCCCGCGAACCCUCGGGAAACUGAGGGGUGCCUUCGGGAGCGC
rnacentral:rRNA from 1 species